rnacentral:lncRNA from 13 species
CUGGUUCUUAUUGCGCAGGUCUGUUCCGGCUCUCCCAGCUCUCCCACCACUGACUGCGAGUUUCUGAAGCCCUGGGAGCUGCCUUCAGUAGAGGAGGCUCAGCCGCUGUGGGUCGAUCUCUGAAGGCCAGGCCAGAAGGAGAGAAAAUGUGGCACGGCUUGGCAGUUCCCAGGUGCGCAUGCUCCGCAGGAGCUGGUGGUAGCCAGGCAGUCUUGGCCGAGACUUAUUUGCUGAGCUUGGGUGCGCACAGGCCCUGCGAUGUCAACCUCCUGGUCCCGCCCUCCCGCCGCAGGGCCGCUCACAAGCCUUAGACUCUUCCCGGACUCCAGACCCCAGACAGCUCCGCUCCACCCUGCGGAUGACGGAGAGAAAGUUCCUUACAAGACCCUCACUUGGGGCAAGGUAGGAGCCGCUGCCAGACGACCCCGCCCCACGUCGGAAGCAACCUCGGAAACCUGCCUACCUGUUUCAUGCCCGCCCCCUACAGCCUUUCCUCUCUGCAGCCCAGGGAGCUUUAAAAAUGCAAACCACAGGCGGGCACGGUGGCUCACACCUGUAAUCCCAGCACUUUGGGAGGCCGAGGCGGGUGGAUCACGAGGUCAAGAGAUCGAAGAGAUCGAGACCAUCCUGGUCAACAUGAUGAAACCUCGUCUCUACUAAAAAUACAAAAAAUUAGCUGGGCAUGGUGAAUAUUAACUGGGCAUGGUGGCACGUGCCUGUAAUCCCAGCUACUCGUGAGACUGAGGCAGGAGAAUUGCCUGAACCCAGGAGGCAGAGGUUAACGAUGAGCCGAGAUCGCACCACUGCACUCCAGCCUGGGUAACAAGAGCGAAACUCGGUCUCAAAAAAAAAAAAAAAGACGAAAUGUGUACUUGUAGUUUUUGGAGCAGAUUCCUCCCCAACAAAGGAACAGGGCAGCUGGGAAGAUAUAAGAACUUGUGCCGCACCUCUUGCCUUCCAGUGACAUAUUUUGAUUGGCAAAAGGGUUUGUUUUUGUUCAUUUUUACCUGAUACUCCUAUAGCCACAAUAGUAGUAGUGUAAGACAGUGACCCACCAGUUUGGAUCAUAUGCCACCACUAGGUAUUGCAUGGGGGUAAACCGCAUGAUCUUUAUAGACCGUUCUCCAGUCUGGGCCAGGUUUUAGACUCUGGUUUAGCUCUAUCU